GCGUUGGUCGAAGCAGCAGCGGCGCCAGGAGCCCGCCUCUAUGAUGAAGUUCAAGCCCAACCAGACGCGGACAUAUGACCGCGAGGGCUUCAAGAAGCGGGCGGCGUGCCUGUGCUUCCGGAGCGAGCUGGAAGACGAGGUCCUGCUGGUGAGUAGCAGUCGGUACCCAGACCAGUGGAUUGUCCCAGGAGGAGGGAUGGAGCCAGAGGAGGAGCCCGGCGGCGCCGCUGUGAGGGAAGUUUAUGAGGAGGCUGGGGUCAAAGGAAAAUUAGGCAGACUCCUGGGCAUAUUUGAGCAGAACCAAGACCGAAAGCACAGAACUUAUGUUUAUGUUCUUACCGUCACUGAAAUACUAGAAGAUUGGGAAGACUCUGUUAAUAUAGGAAGGAAGAGAGAAUGGUUCAAAGUAGAAGAUGCACUCAAAGUUCUUCAGUGCCAUAAACCUGUCCAUGCAGAAUAUCUGGAAAAACUAAAACUGGGUUGUCCCCCAACCAAUGGAAAUUCCACAGCCCUCCGGGGUGCCAUCCAGU